rnacentral:rRNA from 1 species
CGUAGGGUGCGAGCGUUAAUCGGAAUUACUGGGCGUAAAGCGUGCGCAGGCGGUUUUGUAAGACAGGCGUGAAAUCCCCGGGCUCAACCUGGGAACUGCGCUUGUGACUGCAAGGCUAGAGUACGGCAGAGGGGGUGGAAUUCCACGUGUAGCAGUGAAAUGCGUAGAGAUGUGGAGGAACACCAAUGGCGAAGGCAGCCCCCUGGGUCGAUACUGACGCUCAUGCACGAAAGCGUGGGUAGCAAACAGGAUUAGAUACCCUGGUAGUCCACGCCCUAAACGAUGUCAACUAGGUGUUGGAUGGGUAAAACCAUUUAGUACCGGAGCUAACGCGUGAAGUUGACCGCCUGGGGAGUACGGCCGCAAGGUU